CUUACUUGCUUUGCUUGUUUCAGUUCCAUAUGCUUUGUCUCCAAAUUGUGAACACAUCUUGAUUUCUACCAUUAUGUAAUUCUAAAUCAUUGCUGUACUCUAGUUUGUACAUGAAAAUUCACCCAUCUGCAGAUAGCUGCCUUUGUGAGAGCAAAACAUAAAGCUGUCUGAACCAUCUGGAUUGGUAAACUUCAGGCUUCGCCUUUGGACUUGGCAGCCCUCCUAGCAGAGCACUCAUCGCUUGUAUACUCCUCACAGAAAAGGCCAUUCUACACUGGAAGGCCUGCAGAUCCUGGAUUUGCCCCUGGUACAUGCAUGCAGAUGUAUGAAAGCCAAGGUCAGUCUUCUGAAGACUCACAAUCUAGUAGGAUGGACAGACAAGGAAAGAGACAGUUCAUUGUAUCGUGACAAGUCCUCAAAGGUGGCUUCAUCUGACCAGUUGGGGGAAAAUGGAUCCCAACAUCACAUAUGUCCGUGUGUGUUUUUUCGACACCAAAUGUAUGAUCUUUUCCAACAACAAAUACAUUGUCCAAAACCAAUUCAUC
ensembl:lncRNA